UUUUGAAUUUUUUUUUAAGUCUGACCUGCCCACUGAAUAUUUUAAAUGGCCGCAGUAUACUAACUGUGCAAAGGUAGCAUAAUCAUUAGUCUUUUAAUUGAAGGCUUGUAUGAAUGGUUGGACGAGAUAUUAACUGUUUCAUAAAAAUUUAUAUUAGAAUUUUAUUUUUUAGUCAAAAAGCUAAAAUAAAAUUAAAAGACGAGAAGACCCUAUAAAUCUUUAUAUUUAUAUUAUUUUGAUAUUUUAGAAUUUUUUUAUUGUAAUAAUUUAUAAUAUUUUAUUGGGGUGAUAUUAAAAUUUAAUAAACUUUUAAUUUUUAAAAUCAUUAAUUAAUGAAUAAUUGAUCCGUUAUUAAUGAUUAAAAAAUCAAGUUACUUUAGGGAUAACAGCGUAAUUUUUUUGGAGAGUUCAUAUCGAUAAAAAAGAUUGCGACCUCGAUGUUGGAUUAAGAUAUAAUUUUAGGUGUAGUUGCUUAAAUUUUAAGUC
rnacentral:rRNA from 1 species